GCCGGGAUGGCGGAAUUGGCAGACGCUCACGACUCAAAAUCGUGCGAGGGCAACCUCAUGAGAGUUCGAGUCUCUCUCCCGGCACAA
rnacentral:tRNA from 1 species